rnacentral:rRNA from 1 species
GAGGAAUAUUGGUCAAUGGACGGAAGUCUGAACCAGCCAAGUAGCGUGCAGGAUGACGGCCCUAUGGGUUGUAAACUGCUUUUGUAUGGGGAUAAAGUUAGGGACGUGUCCCUAUUUGCAGGUACCAUACGAAUAAGGACCGGCUAAUUCCGUGCCAGCAGCCGCGGUAAUACGGAAGGUCCAGGCGUUAUCCGGAUUUAUUGGGUUUAAAGGGAGCGUAGGCUGGAGAUUAAGUGUGUUGUGAAAUGUAGACGCUCAACGUCUGAAUUGCAACGCAUACUGGUUUCCUUGAGUACGCACAACGUUGGCGGAAUUCGUCGUGUAGCGGUGAAAUGCUUAGAUAUGACGAAGAACUCCGAUUGCGAAGGCAGCUGACGGGAGCGCAACUGACGCUUAAGCUCGAAGGUGCGGGUAUCAAACAGGAUUAGAUACCCUGGUAGUCCGCACAGUAAACGAUGGAUGCCCGCUGUUGGUACCUGGUAUCAGCGGCUAAGCGAAAGCAUUAAGCAUCCCACCUGGGGAGUACGCCGGCAACGGUG